AAGAGACGAUCUGGUUACGUUCCAGCGGAUGCCACUCGGCGCAAACCACCGUGUCGACAGAGCACUACAAUCGACAGUCAUCAGCCGUUAAAUGGCCUGCUUCCGGCCGAGAUAUACGCGAAUCAUUUGCAACUUUAUAAAUUCACUUUAGUACCACGAUCGCUCUUCUGCCAGUCCCAGAUCGAUAUAUUAUGAUCGGAAGUCUCGUCGAUGGCACACAAAUAAUUUCCGCCGUCGGCCUUGGAGAAUGACAGGCAGCAAAUCGAUCCGUCGAAUUCGCCAUUGCCGAUCACACUGAGAGUCGUCAGGCUUACGGAGUUCCAUAUUCUUAUAUGUGGCUAAAAUUCAUAUCAAAUUUAUAGUAUUUUGUAAUUUGUUCACUAAAUUUUAUAUAUUAUAUCGUUAAAAUUAUGUCUUAUUUUUUUCUUUUUUCUUUUUUAUUCAUUUAAUAUACAUUUCCGUAAUGAAAGGAUUCUCAGCUCGUAUUUUGCAAAGCAAUAAUGUAAAAAAUAGUAAGAGGAACAAAGAAGAACACCGAACGAACAAGAAGUGUAUAAGUUAAAAUCUUAAUUUAUGAUUUUGCAAUAAAGUUUAUUAUCUCUUAAC